rnacentral:rRNA from 1 species
AUGAACGCUGGCGGCGUGCCUAAUACAUGCAAGUCGAGCGAACAGACGAGGAGCUUGCUCCUCUGACGUUAGCGGCGGACGGGUGAGUAACACGUGGAUAACCUACCUAUAAGACUGGGAUAACUUCGGGAAACCGGAGCUAAUACCGGAUAAUAUAUUGAACCGCAUGGUUCAAUAGUGAAAGACGGUUUUGCUGUCACUUAUAGAUGGAUCCGCGCCGCAUUAGCUAGUUGGUAAGGUAACGGCUUACCAAGGCAACGAUGCGUAGCCGACCUGAGAGGGUGAUCGGCCACACUGGAACUGAGACACGGUCCAGACUCCUACGGGAGGCAGCAGUAGGGAAUCUUCCGCAAUGGGCGAAAGCUUGACGGAGCAACGCCGCGUGAGUGGUGAAGGUCUUCGGAUCGUAAAACUCUGUUAUUAGGGAAGAACAAAUGUGUAAGUAACUAUGCACGUCUUGACGGUACCUAAUCAGAAAGCCACGGCUAACUACGUG